UGUCCAGCAUACCACCCUGAACAUACCUGACUGUAUCUGAUUUUGAAUGCUAAUGAGGGUCAGGCCUGGUUAGUACUUGGAUGAGAGCCCAGCAACAAACACCAAUAAUCUCCAGGGAGGGUUAGGAUAGAAUCAU
rnacentral:rRNA from 1 species